rnacentral:rRNA from 1 species
AGAAUCAACGCUGGCGGCGUGCCUAACACAUGCAAGUCGAACGAGAAAGUGGAGCAAUCCAUGAGUAAAGUGGCGCACGGGUGAGUAACACGUGACUAACCUACCCUUGAGUGGGGGAUAACCUAGGGAAACCUGGGCUAAUACCGCAUAAUACCUUCGGGUCAAAGGAGCAAUUUCGCUUAAGGAGGGGUCGCGGCCGAUUAGUUAGUUGGCGGGGUAAUGGCCCACCAAGACUGUGAUCGGUAU